ACCGCGGUAGCCAAGUUGGUUAGGGCGUCGUCGGCAGUACUGAUGCCGAAGGUCGCAUGUUCAAAUCGUGCCUGCGGUG